rnacentral:rRNA from 1 species
UACGGAGGGUGCAAGCGUUACUCGGAAUUACUGGGCGUAAAGCGUGCGCAGGCGGUUUGUUAAGUCUGUUGUGAAAUCCCCGAGCUCAACUUGGGAAUUGCAAUGGAUACUGGCAGGCUGGAGUAUGGUAGAGGAAGGUGGAAUUCCCGGUGUAGCAGUGAAAUGCGUAGAGAUCGGGAGGAACACCAGUGGCGAAGGCGGCCUUCUGGACCAGUACUGACGCUCAUGCACGAAAGCGUGGGGAGCAAACAGG